rnacentral:rRNA from 1 species
UACGGGGGGGGCAAGCGUUGUUCGGAAUUACUGGGCGUAAAGGGCGCGUAGGCGGUGCUCUAAGUCGGAUGUGAAAACUCUGGGCUCAACCCAGAGCCUGCAUCCGAAACUGGAGUGCUAGAGUUCUGGAGGGGGUAGCGGAAUUCCUGGUGUAGCGGUGAAAUGCGUAGAUAUCAGGAGGAACACCAGCGGCGAAGGCGGCGCUCUGGGCCGGUACUGACGCUGAGGAGCGAAAGCGUGGGGAGCAAACAGG